CCUACGGGUGACAGCAGUCGAGAAUCAUUCACAAUGGGGGAAACCCUGAUGGUGCGACGCCGCGUGGGGGAAUGAAGGUCUUCGGAUUGUAAACCCCUGUCAUGUGGGAGCAAAUUAAAAAGAUAGUACCACAAGAGGAAGAGACGGCUAACUCUGUGCCAGCAGCCGCGGUAAUACAGAGGUCUCAAGCGUUGUUCGGAAUCACUGGGCGUAAGGCGGGCGUAGGCUGUGUCGUAAGUCGUGUGUGAAAGGCGCGGGCUCAACCCGCGGACGGCACAUGAUACUGCGAGACUAGAGUAAUGGAGGGGGAACCGGAAUUCUCGGUGUAGCAGUGAAAUGCGUAGAUAUCGAGAGGAACACUCGUGGCGAAGGCGGGUUCCUGGACAUUAACUGACGCUGAGGCACGAAGGCCAGGGGAGCGAAAGGGAUUAGAUACCCUUGUAGUC
rnacentral:rRNA from 1 species